rnacentral:misc_RNA from 1 species
GAUGAAGAACGUAGCGAAAUGCGAUAAGUAAUGUGAAUUGCAGAAUCCAGUGAAUCAUCGAAUCUUUGAACGCACAUUGCGCCCGCCAGCAUUCUGGCGGGCAUGCCUGUUCGAGCGUCAUUUCAACCCUCGACCUCCCUUUGGGGAAGUCGGCGUUGGGGACCGGCAGCACACCGCCGGCCCUGAAAUGGAGUGGCGGCCCGUCCGCGGCGACCUCUGCGUAGUAAUCCAACUCGCACCGGAACCCCGACGCAGCCACGCCGUAAAACACCCAACUUCUGAACGUUGACCUCGAAUCAGGUAGGACUACCCGCUGAACUUAAGCAUAUCAAUAAGCGGAGG